GACACGACUCUCGGCAAUGGAUAUCUCGGCUCUCGCAUCGAUGAAGAGCGCAGCGAAAUGCUAUACUUGGUGUGAAUUGCAGAAUCCCGCGAACCAUCGAGUCUUUGAACGCAAGUUGCGCCCGAGGCCAACCGGCCGAGGGCACGUCCGCCUGGGCGUCAAGC
rnacentral:rRNA from 1 species